AUUGAACGCUGGCGGCAGGCCUAACACAUGCAAGUCGAGCGGAUGAAGGGUGCUUGCUCCUGGAUUCAGCGGCGGACGGGUGAGUAAUGCCUAGGAAUCUGCCUGGUCGUGGGGGAUAACGUCCGGAAACGGGCGCUAAUACCGCAUACGUCCUGAGGGAGAAAGUGGGGGAUCUUCGGACCUCACGCUAUCAGAUGAGCCUAGGGCGGAUUAGCUAGUUGGUGGGGUAAAGGCCUACCAAGGCGACGAUCCGUAACUGGUCUGAGAGGAUGAUCAGUCACACUGGAGCUGAGACACGGUCCAGACUCCUAGGGGAGGCACCAGUGGGGAAUAUUGGACAAUGGGCGAAAGCCUGAUCCAGCCGUGCCGCGUGUGUGCAGAAGGUCUUCGGAUGGGAAAGCACUUUUAGUUGUGAGGAAGGGCAGUAAGUUGAAACCUGGCUGUUUUGACGUUACCAACAGAAUAAGCACCGGCUAACUUCGUG
rnacentral:rRNA from 1 species